AUACGGAGGGUGCAAGCGUUAAUCGGAAUUACUGGGCGUAGAGCGUGCGUAGGUGGUUUGUUAAGUCAGAUGUGAAAGCCCCGGGCUCAACCUGGGAACUGCAUUUGAAACUGGCAUACUAGAGUAUAGGAGAGGAAAGUGGAAUUUCAGGUGUAGCGGUGAAAUGCGUAGAUAUCUGAAGGAACAUCAAUGGCGAAGGCAGCUUUCUGGACUAAUACUGACACUGAGGUACGAAAGCGUGGGUAGCAAACAGGAGUAGAAACCCCGGUAGUCC
rnacentral:rRNA from 1 species